GAUGAACGCUGGCGGCGUGCCUAAUACAUGCAAGUCGAGCGAACAGACGAGGAGCUUGCUCCUCUGACGUUAGCGGCGGACGGGUGAGUAACACGUGGAUAACCUACCUAUAAGACUGGGAUAACUUCGGGAAACCGGAGCUAAUACCGGAUAAUAUAUUGAACCGCAUGGUUCAAUAGUGAAAGACGGUUUUGCUGUCACUUAUAGAUGGAUCCGCGCCGCAUUAGCUAGUUGGUAAGGUAACGGCUUACCAAGGCAACGAUGCGUAGCCGACCUGAGAGGGUGAUCGGCCACACUGGAACUGAGACACGGUCCAGACUCCUACGGGAGGCAGCAGUAGAGAAUCUUACGCAAUGGGCGAAAGCCUGACGGAGCAACGCCGCGUGUGUGAUGAAGGUCUUCGGAUCGUAAAACUCUGUUAUUAGGGAAGAACAAAUGUGUAAGUAACUAUGCACGUCUUGACGGUACCUAAUCAGAAAGCCACGGCUAACUACGUG
rnacentral:rRNA from 1 species